UUAGACAGAGGCGGGGACAGGAUGAGCUCAAUGACCCCAAUGUCUGGGGACUUCCUGCAAGUGGUUUUGGGCUGCUGCCUUCUAGGCUGAGUGACUGGGGCAAGGGUAGGUGGACACAUUAUUGGAAGCAGAUGCGCAGAGGAAUGCAGGGCAUGCUCAGGAACUGGGACUGGUGCCGUUGGAGCUAAAGAGAAGACAUGGAGGCCAGAGAAGUGAAGUGACCUGCCCAAGGUCACACAGUAGCAGAGUCCAGACCAGAACCCAGGUGCCGUCCAGCAGCUGAAGGAAGUGGGACUCACCAUCCCAGAGGAAUGGGAGGAAGGCAUUUCUAACUUCAACCUAAAAGAUCUGAUGGGGUCAGGGUGGCCAAGGACCCAUCAGGGAAGGUAGUCCUGGGGGGAAUAAUGUUCUAGAAGCUGUGAGAGGAGGAUCCCGUGCUUGUAGGAGUGGCAAUGGUUAAAAAUAUGCCCACAAAUUAUUUGACACUCUCUCUCCUUGGAAAAGGCCACAUAGCUUCUGCCUGGUUCUACCCUGAGAUUGCUGAACUGGAGAGGCUACAGGUGGGUGGGUGUUCCUGUGCAUAGCCUCGCGGAGCUUCCAGGCCACAACCAGCAUCAAUUGUCAGUUGUGUGAGUGUGCCAUCUUGGAUGUCCAGUGGAGCCUUCAGAGGGCAGCCCUGGCCAACAUCUAUAUGUAACUACAUGAGAGACUCUAAGUAAGAACUGGCUGGCCAAGCCCUUCUUGAAUUCUUGGCCCACAAAAUCAUAAGCAAAUAAAAUGUGUGUUUGGAACUUUGAA